UGCGUAGGCGGAUUAAUAAGUCAGUGGUGAAAACCUGCAGCUUAACUGUAGAACUGCCAUUGAUACUGUUAGUCUUGAGUACGGUCAAGGUAGGCGGAAUGUGUAAUGUAGCGGUGAAAUGCUUAGAUAUUAUACAGAACACCGAUUGCGAAGGCAGCUUACUGGGCCAUUACUGACGCUGAGGCACGAAAGCGUGGGUAGCGAACAGGAUUAGAUACCCUGGUAGUCC
rnacentral:rRNA from 1 species